rnacentral:lncRNA from 1 species
CUGACUUGUUUCAAGGCUUCUGCUAAGACCCAAGGAACAGGAAGAGGACUUUCUUAGUCCAGCCAACUUGGAAGAACAUGUCUUCGGUUGACUGGAUAAGGCCCACCAGUAGUGGGGAAGACAAUCGGCUAUACUCAGUCUACCAAUUCAAAUGUUUGUCAUGCAGAAAUACUCUCCCAGACACGCCCAAGAAGAUGUUUAACCAAAUGUGUGGGCAGCCAUGUCCCAGUCAAGUUGAUACAUGAAAUCAACCAUCACAGACACAGUGUUUUUCUGUUAGGUGAGUUGACCAAACCUCUCUUCGACUCUCAAUCGACUUUAUUUCCUUGGGAAAUAUUUUAAUUUCAGGAGAGUCCUUUUUUUUUUUUUUUCCAUCUGAUCAAUGUUAACAGCCAAGAAUUGAGAAAUUCGGAAUAAUAAAGUACCAUAGUCCUACUUUGGGAUGUGACUGUAAGAAUUUUAAGAACCAUGAGACAUAAAUAUCUCUUCUUGCCAAAAGGACAUCCAUCCGAUGGGUUUGUUUCUUCCCCA